GCCAGAUGUGGUAAUGCACACCUGUAGUCCUAGCUACUCAGGAGUCUGAGCUGGAAGAAUUGCUUGAGUCCAGGAAUCCUGGGCUGUAGUGCACUAUACUGAUCCAGUGUCUACACUAAGUUCAGCAUCAAUAUGGUGACUACUGGGAGUUGGUGACCACCAAGUUACAUAAGGAGAGGUGAACCGGCCCAAGUAGGAAACAGAGCAGGUCAAAACUCCCAUGCUGAUCAUUAGUAGAAAGACUGUGUAUGUUACAUUUAUGAAAGGAACACAGGGCACAUUGAAACUG
rnacentral:SRP_RNA from 1 species